GUGGAGCGGCGUGUGAAGAGAAAGAAGGGGUGUUUGCAGCCUCGGCGCCUGUCAACAGGUGAGCGUUAACCAGGAGCUUCUCUGAGGGGCUCCUGGCCCCUUAGGCCCAGCGGCGGCGGAAUCCGUUGUGAACGUGGUGACUCACCCCUGAAGGCAGAUGGAGCAGCGGUACUGCGGCGCUGGGGCCCGGGACCUGGCAGUCAGCCCAGUUCGAGUCCCUCCCUCGCCUCCUCGUGGGCCGCUGGGAGUCGUGUCAGGUGCACACCGCUAGAGGGUGAAAGAGAGUAAGUAAGUAGUGGAUGUGAGAGACACAUCGACUGGUUGCUUCCCACAGGCAUGGCUACUGGAACCAGGGAUUGAACCUGCAACCCAGAUCCUUCUUCACCCCUGGCUAAAUCCUCCCGGACGCUGAGCCCAUGCUCCCCUCGCAGCAGGCACAGGUCCCUACGGAAGUCAGGCUGCCUGGGCCUCCUCCCUGACCUCACC